CCUGGCGGCACUAGCGCGGUGGUCCCACCUGACCCCAUGCCGAACUCAGAAGUGAAACGCCGUAGCGCCGAUGGUAGUGUGGGGUCUCCCCAUGUG
rnacentral:rRNA from 3 species